rnacentral:misc_RNA from 1 species
AUGAAUUCCGAAGUAGAUGAUUCGAGGACAGUCAAAGAGACCAAGUGGCUGGUGUAAACUUGGGUCCUCCUUUCAUUGAAUUACAGAAUUCGUGUCUAUGUGAUACACCAAUGAAGUGGGUAAUUGAAAUUACCAACAAGGGUGGUACCGCGGAGUGAAAGCUUCGUCCCUGUU